rfam:Nippostrongylus brasiliensis genome assembly, scaffold: NBR_contig0004707
ACAACGGUAGCACGGUGGGUAGUGCAGUCUGCCGGAAACAAAAGGACGCGGGUUCAAUUCCCGUCCGAUGUC